CGUCUAGGCGGGAUGGUUAGUCAGAUGUGAAAGCCCACGGCUCAACCGUGGAAUUGCAUUUGAAACUGCCAUCCUUGAGUACGGAAGAGGAAAGCGGAAUUCCUGGUGUAGCGGUGAAAUGCGUAGAUAUCAGGAAGAACACCGGUGGCGAAGGCGGCUUUCUGGUCCGAUACUGACGCUAAAGCGCGAAAGUGUGGGGAGCGAACAGGAUUAGAUACCCUGGUAGUCC
rnacentral:rRNA from 1 species